UCGAUCCUUUAGACCUUCGG
rnacentral:snRNA from 1 species